UACGUAGGGUGCAAGCGUUGUCCGGAAUUAUUGGGCGUAAAGAGCUCGUAGGCGGUCUGUCGCGUCUGCUGUGAAAACCUAGGGCUUAACUCUGGGCGUGCAGUGGGUACGGGCAGGCUAGAGUGCGGUAGGGGAGACUGGAAUUCCUGGUGUAGCGGUGAAAUGCGCAGAUAUCAGGAGGAACACCAGUGGCGAAGGCGACACGCUGGGCCGUACCUGACACUGAACCGCGACAGCAUGGGGAGCAACAGG
rnacentral:rRNA from 1 species